rnacentral:rRNA from 1 species
GACGAACGCUGGCGGCGUGCUUAACACAUGCAAGUCGAACGAGACGAUUGAAAGCUUGCUUUCGAAAGUCGAGUGGCAAACGGGUGAGUAACGCGUAGACAACCUGCCUUUGAGAUGGGGACAACAGUUCGAAAGGACUGCUAAUACCGAAUGUUGUAUGUUUUCCACAUGGAAGAUAUAUUAAAGAUGGCCUCUAUUUAUAAGCUAUCGCUCAAAGAUGGGUCUGCGUCUGAUUAGCUAGUUGGUGGGGUAACGGCCUACCAAGGCGACGAUCAGUAGCCGGUCUGAGAGGAUGAACGGCCACAUUGGGACUGAGACGCGGCCCAGACUCCUACGGGAGGCAGCAGUGGGGAAUCUUCCACAAUGGACGAAAGUCUGAUGGAGCAACGCCGCGUGAGUGAAGAAGGGUUUCGGCUCGUAAAGCUCUGUUGUCGGGGACGAAUGUGCAGUAUUUGAAUAAAGUACUGUAAUGACGGUACCUGACGAGGGAGCCACGGCUAACUACGUGCCAGCCGCCGCGGUAA